GACGAACGCUGGCGGCGUGCUUAACACAUGCAAGUCAAACGGAAAGGCCCCUUUGGGGGUACUCGAGUGGCGAACGGGUGAGUAACACGUGAGUAACCUGCCCUUGACUUCGGGAUAACUUCAGGAAACUGGGGCUAAUACCGGAUAGGAAUCCUUGCUGCAUGGUGGGGGUUGGAAAGCUUCGGCGGUUUUGGAUGGACUCGCGGCUUAUCAGCUUGUUGGUGGGGUAGUGGCUUACCAAGGCUUUGACGGGUAGCCGGCCUGAGAGGGCGACCGGCCACAUUGGGACUGAGAGACGGCCCAGACUCCUACGGGAGGCAGCAGUGGGGAAUAUUGCACAAUGGGCGGAAGCCUGAUGCAGCAACGCCGCGUGCGGGAUGACGGCCUUCGGGUUGUAAACCGCUUUCAGCAGGGGCGAAGCUUGUGGUGACGGUACCUGCAGAAGAAGCACCGGCUAACUACGUG
rnacentral:rRNA from 1 species